ACAUGCAAGUCGAGCGGGGAAGAGUAGCUUGCUACUUUACCUAGCGGCGGACGGGUGAGUAAUGCUUAGGAAUCUGCCUAUUAGUGGGGGACAACAUCUCGAAAGGGAUGCUAAUACCGCAUACGUCCUACGGGAGAAAGCAGGGGACCUUCGGGCCUUGCGCUAAUAGAUGAGCCUAAGUCGGAUUAGCUAGUUGGUGGGGUAAAGGCCUACCAAGGCGACGAUCUGUAGCGGGUCUGAGAGGAUGAUCCGCCACACUGGGACUGAGACACGGCCCAGACUCCUACGGGAGGCAGCAGUGGGGAAUAUUGGACAAUGGGGGGAACCCUGAUCCAGCCAUGCCGCGUGUGUGAAGAAGGCCUUUUGGUUGUAAAGCACUUUAAGCGAGGAGGAGGCUACCGAGAUUAAUACUCUUGGAUAGUGGACGUUACUCGCAGAAUAAGCACCGGCUAACUCUGUGCCAGCAGCCGCGGUAAUACAGAGGGUGCAAGCGUUAAUCGGAUUUACUGGGCGUAAAGCGCGCGUAGGUGGCCAAUUAAGUCAAAUGUGAAAUCCCCGAGCUUAACUUGGGAAUUGCAUUCGAUACUGGUUGGCUAGAGUAUGGGAGAGGAUGGUAGAAUUCCAGGUGUAGCGGUGAAAUGCGUAGAGAUCUGGAGGAAUACCGAUGGCGAAGGCAGCCAUCUGGCCUAAUACUGACACUGAGGUGCGAAAGCAUGGGGAGCAAACAGGAUUAGAUACCCUGGUAGUCCAUGCCGUAACGAUGUCUACUAGCCGUUGGGGCCUUUGAGCUUUAGUGGCGCAGCUAACGCGAUAAGUAGACCGCCUGGGGAGUACGGUCGCAGACUAAAACUCAAUGAAUUGACGGGGCUCGCACAAGCGGUGGAGCAUG
rnacentral:rRNA from 1 species